AAACCAUCACUCGGUUAUGUCUUGUAAUGAAACAGUUAACUCUCAAUGUUAUUGAUUCGCGAGUUUAUUCACCAUCUUAACUUUAAUUGUAUUCUAAACGUGUCAGUGCAUGGUUUGAAAAUCAUUUACAAUCAAUUCAUCCGAUUGUGAAUGUUAGUCAGUUAGAAUGCUGCGUCUUUUUGUAUUAGUGUGUUUCUUGUUCUGUUGGAAAAUCAUCAAAGGAGGCAUACUACAAUCGCCUAAUUAUCAGCUACUAUCGGAUAAGGAAGUUGAAGAAAUGCUCCGUAAAUAUCCAGAGCUCAGUGAUAAGUUUAGCGAAAUGGAUCUAGAAUAUCGGCGAUAUAUACAAGAGGUUGGCUCAAUUCUUUUGUCGGACACUGACCUGCGGGAGAAACUGGACGUACUUGACAACAACGACCUUUCGUCAGGUUUGAUAGCAGACGAACUGGAUAAACUGAAACCCGAGUUACGAUCAAAACUGAACGAGAUAAAACGAGCAGAACUUGAUCGAUUGCUCGCUCGAUGGCGAGACCUCGCAAAAAUUACUGAUCGUGAACCAGACGGUGUAGUGCACUUGGACACGAAAAAUCCCCACUCUUUCGAAGCCGAUGAUCUCCGAUAUCUCCUUAAAGCGACGGUGGAUGAUUUGAACAAACUAGAUCAAAUGCGACGACAAGCAUUCAAGAACCACGAGAUGACGAAAAAAAUGGAGGAAGAGGAGAGAAUAAAUGCCAUGGGAAGCGAGCAAAGGAAAAGUUACUACGCCCACAAACGCAAUUGGGCAGAAAUCUAUCGUCAAAGAGCAAAGCAAGUUCGGCACCCUGGAAGCGAGGAACAAUUAAAAGAUGUUUGGAAGCAUACAGAUCAGAUGAACUUCCAAGAUUUCAACCCUACUUUAUUUUUCCGCCUGCAUGAUAUGAAUAAUGACGGAGCUCUAGAUGAACACGAGGUAAAGGCUCUUUUCAUCAGAGAAAUCUCGACACUAUACAAGAAAGAGGAUCCUGGUUUUGACCCGGCGGAGAAGGAGGAGGAAGGAGAGCGGAUGCGAGAACACUUCUUUAGCGAGGCUGACACCGAUAAAGAUCGAAUGGUCACGUUGCAAGAAUUCACAUCCAAUUUGGAGAAUUUAAAAACGCACGAAACGGGCUGGAAUUCUCUUUUUAGUCGGCCAUUUUUUACUGAUGAAGAAUUUAAUGCGUUCAUGGAAAAAGUCAUACCGAGGAGAAACUCCAUAAAAACUAAGCUGGAGGGAUACCGUAUGAACCAUAUUGAAAUGUGACCGUUAAGUCAAUCAUGAGUAUGACCUCUGUCUGGUAAUAUAUUAUUCACCUUGAAGAUUGAUCGGGGGAAAUUUACGUUAGUUUCGCGUGCCGCUCUGCCGGCUCAUUUUCUUCAGCUCCAUCGAUUUCCAGUCGCAUGAAAAUGGGGAGAUUUCUCACGCCAAAGGCAUCAGCUCUCCUUUUGAUGGCCAUCUUCGGGCUUUCAAAUUGUUGGGAAUUGGACAUUUGGACGGAAAAUCGCUACGGUGGUGAUCACACGACUCUCUCAGGGGACUCGAGCUCGUGCCGCGACCUGCACGACCAUUUCGACAAUAACGUGAGCUCUUUAAAAGUGAAAAGCGGUGGUGUCAACGGCUACCUGGAUCAUGGAUGUAAGAUAUUCGCACUAGUCUUCACCGAAGGUGGUACCUAUGAUGACUUUUCUAACAGAGAGUUCAAUAAUAUGAUCUCGUCUUUUGGUUACGGAUCAAACUAGUUUGCUGCGGUCAACAUGCUUCGUUUUCAAUAAACCAUGCAUAAGUUCCAAA